CACAAUGUUAAAGAGGAAGAGGAUCCAGGCUGCAGAGGAUGCAAUAUCGUGGGUUCUGUCUUCAAGGGACAAGCAGUGUUUUAUAGAAAAAUAUAUUGAUAGUUACAAAGUAUUGAUGCUUCCAAAGAAGACGGAUCCCUUGGAAGAUUGGUUAAUGACAACCACAAAUCUCCAAACUGCACCAUACGACAAGCCACAUUUAUGCCUAUUUGCUGUUAAGCUUAUUGCGGCAGGAACCUAAAUAAUCUACAACUAUGGUGACUCAAAAUGGCCAUGGCAUGAAAAGGUGACCAACUGGCAGCCUCCUGCUGUGGCAGUAGAGACCCAGAUAUUACAAGCUGAUCCGAGCUCCCAUGGAGAUUCAAAUACAGUCAGUGCAAACUCACAGGUGACCAACUGGCAGCCUCCUGCUGUGGCAGUAGAGACUGGAAAGCAGUCAAGUAUUUCAAAAAAAUAGGAUCACUGCAAUGAAAAGGAAAAUGUAAUGAAAUUCCAUGUUGUUUGAGGCAAUUUGCACCAACCUCACUCCUCAGGUUCCUACACACGGGUUAUUUAUUGUUGUUGAGUGUGUGACGACCCCUUCCACCCUCACCUGGACACUAGGUGUCCCUGUUCUUCUUUCCCCUGAGCUGUAGGUGGAGGUGACGUCAGCGUUAAUCAGUGCACACCUCGGCCAGGUGUGCUGUGCCCUUUAAAAGGCCUUGCCACGUUCAUCUGUCUCUCUUGCUCUCUCUGUGGGACGAGGUUGGCUCUCCCUGACUCCUGACUGCAGCAUCCUUCUCUGUUUUUGUUCUUGGACACACGUUGUGUUGUUGAUUAUCAUUUAUUUAGUUCAUAAAUAUCUGAAAGAGCAACAGUCCACUCGUGUCAUCUCCUUCCUUGUCACAAUCUUUGAGCCGGGCUGUGACAAGUGUGUAUUUAAUAUUUUCGUGUGUGUUAUUUUGAAUGUACCUGCCAUUAUGGGUUGGUCUGGGUCUAUACCCUAAGUUAAAAAAACAAAAACAAAGCUAUUGC